GAAGACCUCAUGCUGUGACCCUCUAGAUGGAAGCACUGUCUGUUGUCUUAAGAAAAGAUCGUGCAUCCCUUUAGAGUGUUACUGUUUGAGAAAA
ensembl:miRNA